rnacentral:rRNA from 1 species
GACGAACGCUGGCGGCGUGCUUAACACAUGCAAGUCGAACGGAAAGGCCCUGCUUUUGUGGGGUGCUCGAGUGGCGAACGGGUGAGUAACACGUGAGUAACCUGCCCUUGACUUUGGGAUAACUUCAGGAAACUGGGGCUAAUACCGGAUAGGAGCUCCUGCUGCAUGGAGGGGGUUGGAAAGUUUCGGCGGUUGGGGCUGGACUCGCGGCUGAUCGGCUUGUUGGUGGGGGAGGGGCUGACCAAGGCUUUGGCGGGUAGCCGGCCGGAGAGGGUGACCGGCCACAUUGGGCCUGCGAUACGGCCCAGACUCCUACGGUGGGCAGCAGUGGGGAAUCUUGCACAAUGAGCGCAAGCCUGAUGCAGCAACGCCGCGUGCGGAAUGACGGCCUUCGGGUUGUAAACCGCUUUCGCCUGUGACGAAGCGUGAGUGACGGUAAUGGGUAAAGAAGCACCGGCUAACUACGUG